CCUCCGUAGGUGAACCUGCGGAGGGAUCAUUACAGAGUUCAUGCCCUACCGGGUAGAUCUCCCACCCUAUGUUAUUAUUACUUUGUUGCUUUGGCGGGCCGUUAGGCUCCGGCCCGACUACCGGCCCCGGCUGGUAAGCGCCCGCCAGAGGACCCAAAACCCUGAAUAUUAGUGUCGUCUGAGUACUAUAUAAUAGUUAAAACUUUCAACAACGGGUCUCUUGGUUCUG
rnacentral:misc_RNA from 1 species